UGUUCCCAUGCCGAACACAGAAGUUAAGCUCCUUAGCGCCGAUGGUAGUCGGAUUUACAUCCCGCUAGAGUAGGACGUUGCCAGGC
rnacentral:rRNA from 1 species